rnacentral:rRNA from 1 species
UACACUCCUGCGGGAGGCAUCAGUGGGGAAUUUUGGACAAUGGGCGAAAGCCUGAUCCAGCAAUGCCGCGUGUGUGAAGAAGGCCUUCGGGUUGUAAAGCACUUUUGUCCGGAAAGAAAUCCUUGGCUCUAAUACAGUCGGGGGAUGACGGUACCGGAAGAAUAAGCACCGGCUAACUACGUGCCAGCAGCCGCGGUAAUACGUAGGGUGCGAGCGUUAAUCGGAAUUACUGGGCGUAAAGCGUGCGCAGGCGGUUUGCUAAGACCGAUGUGAAAUCCCCGGGCUCAACCUGGGAACUGCAUUGGUGACUGGCAGGCUAGAGUAUGGCAGAGGGGGGUAGAAUUCCACGUGUAGCAGUGAAAUGCGUAGAGAUGUGGAGGAAUACCGAUGGCGAAGGCAGCCCCCUGGGCCAAUACUGACGCUCAUGCACGAAAGCGUGGGGAGCAAACAGGAUUAGAUACCCGGGUAGUCCC